rnacentral:rRNA from 1 species
GGAGUUUUCGGCAAUGGGGGGAACCCUGACCGAGCAACGCCGCGUGAGUGAUGACGGUCUUCGGAUUGUAAAGCUCUGUUGUAGGGGACGAAUGAGUGAUCGAGGAAAUGCGGUCGCUUUGACGGUACUCUACCAGAAAGCCACGGCUAACUACGUG